ACAAACGUUGGAACAGAUUUGGAGUGCAAUACAGUCCCUAGAGCCCAGAGCUGUUACUGUUGUGGAGGGGUAUUUGAGCAUACUGAAGAAAAGAGGUUUUGUGAUUUAGAGCAAGUGAAACCUGCAAAGAUAUCCCAAUCUUUGUGACUGAGAACUGAAAUAAUAACUUUACUCACACUUUUUAACUGGCAUUUGGUACAGGCUCAGAUGAAUGAGUUUUCUUCAAAACAAAGACUGCUCUGGGGAGGCUUUUUUUAUGGGGGGGGGUGUGCACCCCUUUCCUCUAGAGCAAAGCUCUUUUCUCUUGAGUCUUAAUGAAAUAUUGAAAUGCUGUUUCUUACUCUAGAAUCAGUAAAGUGUGUGUGUGGUGGGUGUUCUGCUUUGCCACUUCAUGCAAAAAAUGUAUUGUUUUGCCUGCUAGAGGUGGUGUUUUGGAAGCUGAGACGUUGAGGAUCUAUGAGCUGACAAGAUUUCUGCUUGGCAAGAGCAGCUGUUCCUGGGUGGAAGGCAGCUGUUCUCUUUCUGGCUACAGAGAGCAGGCUGUGGCUUCUGUUCUUUGAUCCUGUGAGCAUUGGGACACAAAUCAUGAGAAACAGGGCACAAGAAGCAUGUUAGGAACUGAGUUAGGUGCCUAAUGUGCACUUGAGUACCUGGUGUCAGCCACUUGUAUUGCUUUGAGCUGAGAAGAAGCGUUGUCUUCAGGUGAAAGCAGGCAUAAUUUGUGAAGAGAUGAAGCAGUUGAAGUGCCAUUACUUAGCAGUCUGGAUGUGUUUUUUUCCAGUGGCUUGCCAGUUAUUUUUAUCUACCUGGUCAACUUGGUGCUUCAGAAAACAAAGAUGCUCAAGAUCCAUCAGUGACAGUGAGCUUUCCACUGGAUGAAGAGGCAAGUGUUUCUCUUGUUGCUGGGACCACGACUCCUUGGACCUUGCCCAGUAAUCUGGCCCUUGUGUUAAUGCAGAGUUGCAAUAUGUAGAAUGGAGAGAGAGUGCCACAGGACAGAUUUCCAUUUGGAUGGAAUCCAGGCUGGUAGCACUGCACAAACCUGAAAGUGAAUAGGAAAUACUUGACAGGAUGAUGACAGAGUCUGCAUGGACUUGAAUAGAAUUCAGAAGGGUGCUGUGGCUGUUUGUGCCGUCGAUGCAUCUGGCUGCUUCACAGCAGAGGUGGCUGACUUGGCUGGACAGUAUGUGAAGGAUGCAGAUAAGAAGAUCACUAAAGUACUGAAAGAGAAAGGGAGCCUGGUUCACAGCAGUAGUUUUAAGCACAGCUCUCCUUUCUGCUGGAGGUCUGAUACUCCGCUGACAGACAAAGCUGUGCCAAGCUGGUUUGUAAGAGUGGAACACAUGGUGGAGAAACUGCUGGAAUGUAAUGCCCAAUGCUACUGUAUGUGACCUUGCCUGAGUUGCCUGCUGUUGUGGUCUUCAAAGAUGGAGCUUCCUUUGUUUCUGAUGGAGUAACAACUGAGGAGCACUAAGAAGUAACUUUUCAAGCCCCUGAAAUUAUUUACAGUUAAGAUGGACAGUGCCAGUCUGUGUUUGGUGUUGGUGAGACCUGCUCUACUGACCAGAAGCCUCAUCCAAAGCCUGCACCAGUCCUUUCCUCAACAGAAAAAAUGAGAAAACUUGUGGCUAUUGCAGUCAUUGAUGAUAAAAACUCUUCAGUGGAACAUACCAGGAACAGAACUGAGUGUUGGUGACAGUGUGGGAGAAGUUUGCUGAUAUGAUGUAGAGAACUUGGGGAAGUUUGUUAGAUCUGAAGAGAUGCCAGGGUGAAAACAAGAGAGCAGCAAGGCAGGAAGCACAAAAGCAAACCUCUCUCAUGAAGGAAACAGCACAACUUCAAGCACAGCUUUAAGCACAGCAUACCAAGGAGGAACAGAAAUCCCAAGCAGAGCAAAGGGGAGGAGUGGCUUAGAGAAAAGCAAAAGCACCCCACAAAGGACACAGCCAAAACACCACCCCACAAAGGACACAGCCAACCUACCUCCGCAAAGGGGAUCAGCCAAAGGCUUCUGCCUCUCCUGGGGCAGCUUAAAAAGGGGAGGUCAAUUGAAGUCUCCUCCCACCCCAGCUGUGGCCACUUUGCCCUCCCUGCUCAGUGCCCUUUAUAAGCAGAGCAGGAGGAGCCCAGCCCCAAGCUGGGCCCAUUGCGGGCCAAGGGAUCCUCCGCCUGGCAUCCCAGAAAGCAGGAGUCAGCCACCUGCCACCCAUCCCCUCCUGACCCCAACCCCAGAAACCCAAAGCAGCACUUGGCACAGGAGGUCUCUCGUGUUGCAGUCUCAACUUCAAGCCCUGGAAUACUUUGCUUCAGCCAGCAGCAUGGGGUUGGAUACCAACAGCAGAGUCGACUUAACCUGUGACUAAGUGAACUUUAAGUGUUCUGACUCCACAGUGGAACCUGAUAAAGAAAGAUGUGAAUGGAA